CACAAGCGGUGGAUUAUGUGGAUUAAUUCGAUGCAACGCGAAAACCUUACCUACCCUUGACAUGCUAGGAACUUGCCAGAGAUGGCUUGGUGCCCGAAAGGGACCUAGACACAGGUGCUGCAUGGCUGUCGUCAGCUCGUGUCGUGAGAUGUUGGGUUAAGUCCCCGCAACGAGCGCAACCCUUGUCAUUAAUUGCCAUCAUUCAGUUGGGCACUUUAAUGAGACUGCCGGUGACAAACCGGAGGAAGGUGGGGAUGACGUCAAGUCCUCAUGGCCCUUAUGGGUAGGGCUUCACACGUAAUACAAUGGUCGGUACAGAGGGUUGCCAACCCGCGAGGGGGAGCCAAUCCCAGAAAACCGAUCGUAGUCCGGAUUGCAGUCUGCAACUCGACUGCAUGAAGUCGGAAUCGCUAGUAAUCGCGGAUCAGCAUGUCGCGGUGAAUACGUUCCCGGGCCUU
rnacentral:rRNA from 1 species